GAACGACUCUCGGCAACGGAUAUCUCGGCUCUCGCAUCGAUGAAGAACGUAGCGAAAUGCGAUACUUGGUGUGAAUUGCAGAAUCCCGUGAACCAUCGAGUCUUUGAACGCAAGUUGCGCCCAAUGCCUUAUGGCCGAGGGCACGUCUGCCUGGGCGUCACGC
rnacentral:rRNA from 1 species